CGAAAGGUAUGCUAAUACGGGAUAAUAUAUUUGAGAGGCAUCUCUUGAAUAUCAAAGGUGAGCCAGUACAGGAUGGACCCGCGUCUGAUUAGCUAGUGGGUAAGGGAACGGCUUACCAAGGCGACGAGCAGUAGCCGACCGGAGAGGGUGAUCGGCCACAUUGGAACUGAGGCACGGUCCAAACUCCUACGGGAGGCAGGAGUGGGGAAUAGUGCACAAUGGGCGAAAGCCUGAUGCAGCAACGCCGCGGGAGGGAUGAAGGCCUUCGGGUCGUAAAACUCUGUCCUCAAGGAAGAUAAUGACGGUACUUGAGGAGGAAGCCCCGGCUAACUACGUGCCAGCAGCCGCGGUAAUACGUAGGGGGCUAGCGUUAUCCGGAUUUACUGGGCGUAAAGGGUGCGUAGGCGGUCUUUCAAGUCAGGAGUGAAAGGCU
rnacentral:rRNA from 1 species